rnacentral:rRNA from 1 species
UACGGAGGGAGCUAGCGUUGUUCGGAAUUACUGGGCGUAAAGCGCACGUAGGCGGCUUUGUAAGUUAGAGGUGAAAGCCCGGGGCUCAACUCCGGAACUGCCUUUAAGACUGCAUCGCUUGAAUCCAGGAGAGGUGAGUGGAAUUCCGAGUGUAGAGGUGAAAUUCGUAGAUAUUCGGAAGGACACUAGUGGCGAAGGCGGCUCACUGGACUGGUAUUGACGCUGAGGUGCGAAAGCGUGGGGAGCAAACAGG